UCCGAGUUGCUUUCAUUCAUGUUGAUGAAAGUACAACUGAUGAAAGCACCCGACGGGUGUUAGAGGAAAGGUAGUAUAGAUUCUAAUAGGUGACAUUUCCCAAUGUCAAUAAUUUUUAGUUUUGAAAACAUUGGACCAUGACUCUUGUUAUUACCACCGUCAUCUAUUUCUUCAUUUCGAUUAUGGUUUCCAGUCCCUC
rnacentral:lncRNA from 1 species